rnacentral:tRNA from 1 species
GUCAGGAUGGCCGAACGGUCUAAGGCGCUGCGUUAAGGUCGCAGUCUCCCCUGGAGGCGUGGGUUCGAAUCCCACUUCUGACA